rnacentral:rRNA from 1 species
CCUACGGGUGGCUGCAGUCGAGAAUCAUUCACAAUGGGGGAAACCCUGAUGGUGCGACGCCGCGUGGGGGAAUGAAGGUCUUCGGAUUGUAAACACCUGUCAUGUGGGAGCAAAUUAAAAAGAUAGUACCACAAGAGGAAGAGACGGCUAACUCUGUGCCAGCAGCCGCGGUAAUACAGAGGUCUCAAGCGUUGUUCGGAAUCACUGGGCGUAAAGCGUGCGUAGGCUGUUUCGUAAGUCGUGUGUGAAAGGCGCGGGCUCAACCCGCGGACGGCACAUGAUACUGCGAGACUAGAGUGAUGGAGGGGGAACCGGAAUUCUCGGUGUAGCAGUGAAAUGCGUAGAGAUCGAGAGGAACACUCGUGGCGAAGGCGGGUUCCUGGACAUUAACUGACGCUGAGGUACGAAGGCCAGGGGAGCGAAAGGGAUUAGAUACCCCAGUAGUC